rnacentral:lncRNA from 1 species
UUUCUCUUACACCCAAAGAAACACAAUAACAAGAACAAAGAACUCUCAAAGAGAAUCUUGAUAUAGUGUCAAGAUUUCUAGCUUUUCAUAGUAUUUUUUAGACUGUCAGUAUAUAUUCUUAAAUCCGACUAGAUAGUAUAACAAGCCUUAUCUGAAAAGAUUUAUUAUGAAGAACAUUAUGAAGGUUGUGCUUGUGCUUUCUAUCAUCAUGUGCCUCCUUCUAACACCUACCGUUGCUCGUCGAGCUAGCUUUGGCGGGGUCAGUCGGGGAACCAAAGCUAGUAGUGGUUCUGGUGCAACUACCACAUUGGUCCCAGCAGCUCGUGCUGCGCGAAGAAGCAACAGCUCAUCAUCAUCAACUACCUCCUUUGGAUGGUCCUCCAUGGCUAUGGCUUUAUUUGCUUAUCUUACAUUUGUUUACUUUUGAGCACUCGUAUAUGUUUACUUAAAAUAAUAUAGUGUACGUUCUUUAUUAUUUAAUUUGUUAAGCAAGUGAGGGAGGAAGAAGUCAUGUUUUUAAUGAAGUGAUUUGCAUAGAAUUAGUGUCCAGUAUAUUUUCUUGAAUGUUCAAUAUUGGGUUAUAAGGAGAUCUUGGGUUAUGUUUGGAUACACCUUAAACACUUCAAAGUCUCUUCUACAUAUAUAAUUCCAAUCUACUUAUUAUUAUGGGUGGCGAACGAGCGGGUCGGGAUGAAUAUGGGCGAGUUAAAAAUAGGAAAUGUAAAAAUAGAUUAUCCGAUCCGACCAUUUUUAAUACGUAUAGAAAAUGGGUUAAUCGGCCGAUAAUAUAUGUAACCGUAUUAUCCAUGGUUUUUGAAUAUGAUUCUUCCAAGCUUGAGGAACCCCCAAUUUGAAUCUUUACAAAUGAAAAAGGGCCAAAACUGUCCCUUACCUAUUCGCUUAGGUUUAAAAUACCCUUCGUCUACCUACUUUGUAAAAAUUGUCCUUACCGUUAAAAAUCUGGCCCAUUCAUGCCCUUAUUUUUCAUGGACCUUUGUUGAAUAAAAAAUAUUUUAUUAUAUAUGACGUGGCAAUUGCUUAUUGGUCAAAAUUAAAAAUUCUACUAUAACCCAGAUCUGAUCCGUAAAUAACCCACCCACGAUCCAUCUUAGUUGAUCCAACCCGUUAAAUCCUUUUUAGCCCCUCAAACACUCGAUUCUAUACAUGACUCAUGAUCCAAUCAUUUUUUGCUUUCAUUUAUCAAUUUUUCAUAUUUUUCUUCCUAUUAAUUUAUUAUUUGGUACCAUAUCCCUUUCCCUGUUUAUCUUUCCCAACUUAAUCACGCCGACAAUUACCCAACCAAAUCACUGCCAACGAACUGUGAAGCUAAUUUGCUCACAUGAUUUCAAUUAACUCCAAAAAGCUACAUGAUGACACAACAAAUAUAACUUACUCAAAAAGAUAACUUAUUAAACCAUAAAAUUUUUAAAAUGAACCAUUAAUUUAGUUCCAAAGAAUAAGUGAUUUCACUCAUUUAACAAAAAAAAAUGUUAAUUUACAAAUUAAAUUGAAGCCGAAAAAAUAUGAAAAAAAUCUUAGUGGGGAAGGGAGAUUUGUGGGUAUUGAAGGGUGAGGAUCUAAAAGUUGAAACCAACUGUGGUCCUCUGUCGGCAAUGGUGAGUUAUUGUACUUUGGCCAAGGAGGAGAAUGAUUAGAGAAAAUACAGAGUGGGAGGUCAGGGAUGGAAGAGGAGAAGUUGAAAAGUGAAGUUAGGGCAUUUUUAAAAGCAGGUCAUGGGUCGGGUAUGGAUAUUUUUGGUCAUGGAGUGGGCUAAUAAGUGGAUGUGGGAUGAGGUUUUAAUAGGAACUUAACACAUAAUAAGUAAUAAAAAAAGUAUCUUAAUCAAAAUAGGGCCGUUAGUUUCCAGGAUAUGAGUGGGUCGGAAAGUUAACAUUAGGGACAAUUUUUCCAAAAAUAGGUGGACAAAAGAUAUUAUUAAACCUAAGCGAAUAGGUUAGGGGUAGUUUUGGCCAUUUUCGCUUUACAAAUGUAAAAGUUAAACUCAUUGGUUAUUCAUUUUCUAAGUAUAUAAUAUGGUUCUUAUCCAUAUUUGACCAAUUUUUAAAAAGUUCAUUAUCCAAUCUAUUUUUAGUGGAUAAUAUAGAUGGAUAACUCUAUUUUUAAUCCAUUUUACCACCACUACCGCCUAUGCACACCCUUACUUUUGUGUCAUUAUAUUAAGAAGUUGACCACAUUUUUAAUAUUAGACCAGUUAUUUGAAAUUCAGAAGGGCUCUUUUCAUAGACAUACUAAAUUACGAAGUUAUUUACUUGAAGUAUCUGAAAUUUGCUAUAUACCAAAACACUUGCUAUGUUUUUUUCUACAAAUUAUGUAUGUUACAUCUAAGAUUCGGUCUCUCUCCUCUCUCUCCCUUUUGCUCAUCUCUCCUCUUCUCUCUCCCUGUUCUCUGUCGUCUCUCUUAUAUUCCCCUAAUCCCUCUUGUUACCAAAAGAUGCUACAACUCUAAAAUCGAACCCUAGUACUUAAUUUGUACAAUUAGUAGCCAAAUCAAAAGACCACAGUCAUCUUCUUCGUAGAAAUUGACUUCGAAAUUUUUUACUCCAAGCCUAGCAAAUUAGAUUCAAUCGCCUCCAAACAUACAAUUAAACUUCGUAUUAUAUUUCCAACAAGAAACUAUAUUACCCGUUUGAUCUCUCAUACAAAUUCCAAAUCUUGGAUGAAAUUCGAUUUCUAAAAGAGAACCAAUGACGCUCUUAAUGGCGGAACUUGAAAUUUCUCCACCCCAAGUUUUCAAUUCAAACAACACAAAUCAGUGCAACAUGAGUCGGUUUGGAAAUCAUCUUCGGCUAUUUUUUCCUUUAGCAAAUCGAGCAAGAAAAGAAGAAUAUAUGGUACAAUAGCAUACAAAUUAAAAUACAAAUAUCGCACAAAAUUGAUACAAAUUGGUGCAUCUAUAGCAGCAUACAAAUUUGGUACAACAACAUAGUUUUUGCAUGGAAAAUGGCUAUUGUUACAAAUCUGAGAUAACAAGUAACACAGUAUAUCUAUUCAACAAAUGUUUUGGCCGAUUUUGCCUACUUCAAACUCAUUUAACCCAUCCAACUCUUCCAAGGUUGGGCUGAUCAUUGACUCGCUCAUUCGUUGAACUCAGUCCAUAUUAACCCAAUUCAUCUCAACCCAUCUAAAUUUGGCUGUUUUUUAGCUCAAAUUGAUCAAUAAGUAACUUUGUUAAAAUAUCUUUAAAAUAUUUUUUUUGGUUGUUAUAUAUGACCAUAACAAAAAAAAAAAAAAAGCUUUAUAUGAUAAUCAAACAAUUCAUAAGUAACACACAUUAAUUAAAGUUUGGUAAGAGUUGAGGAGGUUGAACUAUGACGCAAAUUUUAGUCCUCUUGACCCAUUCCAUCUCACCCCAAAUAAUUUUUAAGCGGAUCAAUAACCCGCUUAUUUAUUGAUUGAUCAAACCAUUUUAUAACGGAUCAAUAACUCUUUCUUAAUAACGGCAUGUUUAUAUUGGUAUCUUAUAUAUUUUUUAUUGCAUCCUAACUACUCAAUGCAAAUCGUGCAUGCAAAAAUACUUCAAAGACCACUUGUAAAAUUAGGAUAAGCUUCGUCCGACAUCACUAUUGACUUUCAAUAUAGAACGCCAGUCAAAAGCAAUAUCCUUAAUUAGAAACAAUAUAUAAGCAGGAAAUCAUUAAUUCGAAAUUUGAAACCUUUGGAAGCGGUCAACGCUUUAUUUUUCUAAUUAUUGAACGAUUUUUCAGACUACUUUUAACCAGGUCAUAUAAAAUUUCUCAACGCUUAAUUUUUAAACAAAUUUUUGGAUGAUGCUCCCUCCGUCCAAAUUUAUUUAGCAUUAUUUUCUUAUUACUGCAUUUCAAAAAGAUUGAUACUAUUUUUAUAUUGAAAAUAAUUAACUUUAAACCCUCAUUUUACCUGAGAAAUUUUUAUAGCUUUUAAGAUCGUAAGUGUAAGAGAUUUUAUUGCCAUACAAAUAUUAUAUCAUAUUAAGUGUUGAGUUUGGUAAAAACAUGUAAUAUAUAACAGAAAAAUAUUCUUUUCCUAGUCUUCAAGUUGGACCUUUAGCGAAUUUUUCAGACCGUGUAAAAGAAAAUUCCUUGCUCCUCUCUAACCAAAUUGCCUUUUAUUUAUUCAUAUAACCAAAUUGCGCGCCUUUCUACUUAAUGAGAAAAUGACCGGUGGCUAUUCCAAUUGUGGACUUUCCGUGUUCAGGCCACACUAUAAAUAGACAAGCUUAAUUGGUGCUUUCUUCAUAUCCAAACUUUUCUCUUACAUCCAAAGAAAGACAAUAACAAGAUCAAAGAACUCUCAAAGAGAAUCUUGAUAUAGUGUCAAGAUUUUUAGCUUUUUACAGUAUUUUUUACACUGUCAGUACAUAUCAUUAAAUCCGGCUAAAUAGUAUAACAAGUCUUAUCUGAACAAAAAAAUUAUGAAGAACAUUAUGAAGGUUAUGCUUGUGCUUUCUAUCAUCAUGUGCAUCCUCCUAACACCUACCGUUGCUCGUGGUGCAAGCUUUGGCGGGGUUAGUCGUGGAACCAAGACUAGUAGUGGUUCUGGUGGUGGCGGUAGUAGAACUACAACUACCACAUUCGUCCCAUUAGCUCGUGUUGCGCGAAGAAGCAACAGCUCAUCAUCAUCAACUACUACCUCCUUUGGAUGGUCCUCCAUGGCUAUAGCUUCAUUUGCUUACAUAAUAUUUGUUUAAUUUUGAGCACUUGUACAUAGUAUUUACUUAAAAUAUCUUGUUAGUUAUCCAUUAAUGUACGUUCUUUAUUAUUUGGUAAGCAAGUGAGCAGGGCCGGCCGGAGGGCUAGGCAAGUAAGGAUAUGUCUUAGGCCCCCAAUUUUUAGGGGCCUUGGUUUUAAAGGAAUAUGUUAUGUGUUAAUUUUUUCCUUUAAAAAGCUUAAGCAUUUUAUAAUAAAAGUUUAUCAUUGUGAAAUUGAUGUAACUAUUGAGGAAUGGAAAAGUCCUCCCGAGUAAAGUAAACAUAUUUUGAUGAUUUUCUUAAACUUGAU